rnacentral:rRNA from 1 species
AUGAACGCUGGCGGCGUGCCUAAUACAUGCAAGUCGAGCGAACAGAUGAGGAGCUUGCUCCUCUGACGUUAGCGGCGGACGGGUGAGUAACACGUGGAUAACCUACCUAUAAGACUGGGAUAACUUCGGGAAACCGGAGCUAAUACCGGAUAAUCUAUUGAACCGCAUGGUUCAAUAGUGAAAGACGGUUUUGCUGUCACUUAUAGAUGGAUCCGCGCCGCAUUAGCUAGUUGGUAAGGUAACGGCUUACCAAGGCAACGAUGCGUAGCCGACCUGAGAGGGUGAUCGGCCACACUGGAACUGAGACACGGUCCAGACUCCUACGGGAGGCAGCAGUAGGGAAUCUUCCGCAAUGGGCGAAAGCCUGACGGAGCAACGCCGCGUGAGUGAUGAAGGUCUUCGGAUCGUAAAACUCUGUUAUUAGGGAAGAACAAAUGUGUAAGUAACUAUGCACGUCUUGACGGUACCUAAUCAGAAAGCCACGGCUAACUACGUG